CACAGGUGCUGCAUGGCUGUCGUCAGCUCGUGCUGUGAAGUGUCGGGUUAAGUCCCUUAACGAGCGCAACCCUUAUCGCUAGUUGCCAGCGCGUCAUGGCGGGGACUCUAGCGAGACUGCCGGUGUCAAACCGGAGGAAGGUGGGGAUGACGUCAAGUCCUCAUGGCCCUUACGCCCAGGGUGGCAAACGUGCUACAAUGGCGUGUACAAAGCGAUGC
rnacentral:rRNA from 1 species